GUUCCCUGUGAUGUUUAUGAACCAUGCUAAUCCUGAUUUUUCAUGAUUAUUUACUGCUAAAUAUUCUGAGGGAACU